rnacentral:ribozyme from 1 species
GUCGCUCGAAACUUUGCACACCUCUACGCGGUGGGCGGCAGGCAACACAUGGGAAUGUGGCUAAGAUGCAGAG